CAGUCGCCGCGGGAAUACAGAGGGUGCGAGCGUUAAUCGGAUUUACUGGGCGUAAAGCGUGCGUAGGCGGCUUUUUAAGUCGGAUGUGAAAUCCCUGAGCUUAACUUAGGAAUUGCAUUCGAUACUGGGAAGCUAGAGUAUGGGAGAGGAUGGUAGAAUUCCAGGUGUAGCGGUGAAAUGCGUAGAGAUCUGGAGGAACACCUGUGGCGAAAGCGGCUCACUGGACAUUUACUGACGCUGAUGCACGAAAGCUAGGGGAGCAAACAGGAUUAGAUACCCCAGUAGUCCCUGUCUCUUAUAU
rnacentral:rRNA from 1 species